rnacentral:rRNA from 1 species
AUUGAACGCUGGCGGAAUGCUUUACACAUGCAAGUCGAACGGCAGCACGGGGGCAGCCCUGGUGGCGAGUGGCGAACGGGUGAGUAAUACAUCGGAACGUGCCCGGUCGUGGGGGAUAACGUAGCGAAAGUUACGCUAAUACCGCAUACGAUCUGAGGAUGAAAGCGGGGGACCUUCGGGCCUCGCGCGAUCGGAGCGGCCGAUGUCAGAUUAGGUAGUUGGUGGGGUAAAGGCCUACCAAGCCGACGAUCUGUAGCUGGUCUGAGAGGACGACCAGCCACACGGGGACUGAGACACGGCCCAGACUCCUACGGGAGGCAGCAGUGGGAAAUUUUGGACAAUGGGCGCAAGCCUGAUCCAGCCAUUCGGCGUGCAGGACGAAGGCUUUCGGGUUGUAAACUGCUUUUGUACGGAACGAAAAGGCUCUGGCUAAUACCUGGGGUUCAUGACGGUACCGUAAGAAUAAGCACCGGCUAACUACGU